rnacentral:rRNA from 1 species
UACGAAGGGGGCUAGCGUUGUUCGGAAUCACUGGGCGUAAAGCGCACGUAGGCGGAUUUUUAAGUCAGGGGUGAAAUCCCGAGGCUCAACCUCGGAACUGCCUUUGAUACUGGAGAUCUUGAGUCCGGAAGAGGUAAGUGGAACUGCGAGUGUAGAGGUGAAAUUCGUAGAUAUUCGCAAGAACACCAGUGGCGAAGGCGGCUUACUGGUCCGGAACUGACGCUGAGGUGCGAAGGCGUGGGGAGCAAACAGG